rnacentral:rRNA from 1 species
GAUGAACGCUGGCGGCGUGCUUAACACAUGCAAGUCGAACGGAAAGGCCCAAGCUUGCUUGGGUACUCGAGUGGCGAACGGGUGAGUAACACGUGGGUGAUCUGCCCUGCACUUCGGGAUAAGCCUGGGAAACUGGGUCUAAUACCGGAUAGGACGAUGGUUUGGAUGCCAUUGUGGAAAGUUUUUUCGGUGUGGGAUGAGCUCGCGGCCUAUCAGCUUGUUGGUGGGGUAAUGGCCUACCAAGGCGUCGACGGGUAGCCGGCCUGAGAGGGUGUACGGCCAGAUUGGAACUGAGAUACGGCCCAGACUCCUACGGGAGGCAGCAGUGGGGAAUAUUGCACAAUGGGCGCAAGCCUGAUGCAGCGACGCCGCGUGGGGGAUGACGGCCUUCGGGUUGUAAACUCCUUUCGCUAGGGACGAAGCGUUUUUGUGACGGUACCUGGAGAAGAAGCACCGGCUAACUACGUG